AACUGAACAUCUUUGAGUUGUGGACAAAACAAGACAUUUGAGGACGUUGCCAUUGGGCUUUGGAAAGCCGCGAUUGAUAUUUG